GGGGAUAAAUGAGGCAUCAGGUCUACCCAUUAAAGUCAAUGGGGCAAACGGGACAUCAGGUCUACCCAUUAAAGUCAAUGGGGACAAACGGGACAUCAGGUCUACCCAUUAAAGUCAAUGGAG